GUUUCCCUGUUGCGCAGUUAGUAGAGCGUUGUGUUUGCAAUGCAAAGGUCAUGGUUUCAAACCCCAGGGAAAACA